ACGGAGGAUCCAAGCGUUGUCCGGAUUUAUUGGGUUUAAAGGGUGCGUAGGCGGAUUAAUAAGUCAGUGGUGAAAGCUUGCAGCUUAACUGUGAAAGUGCCAUUGAAACUGUUAGUCUUGAGUAUGGUUGAGGUAGAUGGAACGUAUCAUGUAGCGGUGAAAUGCUUAGAUAUGAUACAGAACACCAAUUGCGAAGGCAGUCUACUAAGCCAUUACUGACGCUGAGGCACGAAAGCGUGGGUAGCGAACAGG
rnacentral:rRNA from 1 species